rnacentral:tRNA from 2 species
ACUUUCAAAGGAUAAUAGUAAUCCAAUGGUCUUAGGAACCACUAAUCUUGGUGCAAAUCCAAGUGAAAGUA